CCCCCAUCACUUCCUGCUGUCAAACUCAAGUGGCUGCUUUUUUGAGAAGGCCCCACAGCCCAUGGGGGGCUGGGGACAGGGGUGUUGGAGCAUUUCCCCUGAGCGGUGGGACCGGCCCGGGUCCCAGCUGGAAUGUCCCAGGAUGGCAGAGCCUGGAGAGUUCUCCCAGGUCCCCAGCUCACAGCCCGCUCCCCCCACCCAGGUCCCAGGGGUGCCAAACACACUCGCUAAUCCUGCGGAAAGACAGGAAGAAGCCGGUGUUCAGGAACACCUUGAGGGGCGUGGAGGGCUUCCGCGUGAUGGUCCCCGACUACAGCGCCAGCGUGGUCUACCUGCGCCUGGGCCGGGCCGGCCGGACCACCAGGACCCUGCUGCUGUUCAGCAGACAGCCCACGUGCAGCUUCCUGAGCAUGAGAAAGUUCAUCAACGCAUGUGAGGCCCUGGGGCUCGCCAGCCGUGUGGCCGUGCUCCCGAAAGACGCCUCCUGCGCGCACACCAUCCUGCCAUGAGCUGGCCACCCACCUGCUCCUCCCCAUGAGGCUCGGCUUGUGGUCCUCCCAGACCCCGGGAGCGAGUUCCAGAUUGUAGGCUGCACACCCUGCUGCUUGUUGAGACGGGUCUGGAGACCCCAGGCCACUGAUGGUGUGGAGCUUGGGUGGGCGUGGGCCCAGCAGGGUCCUUUAGGGUCUCCCGGGUGGGG
rnacentral:lncRNA from 1 species